rnacentral:rRNA from 1 species
UACGUAGGGGGCUAGCGUUGUCCGGAAUCAUUGGGCGUAAAGAGCGCGUAGGCGGCUAGAUAAGUCCGGUGUGAAAGUCACAGGCUCAACCUGUGAAUGCCGCUGGAAACUGUCUGGCUAGAGUCCGGAAGGGGCGAGUGGAAUUCCUGGUGUAGCGGUGAAAUGCGCAGAUAUCAGGAGGAACACCAAUGGCGAAGGCAGCUCGCUGGGACGGUACUGACGCUAAGGCGCGAAAGCGUGGGGAGCGAACAGGG